CCUACGGGGUGCAGCAGUGGGGAAUAUUGCACAAUGGGCGCAAGCCUGAUGCAGCCAUGCCGCGUGUAUGAAGAAGGCCUUCGGGUUGUAAAGUACUUUCAGCGGGGAGGAAGGGAGUAAAGUUAAUACCUUUGCUCAUUGAUGUUACCCGCAGAAGAAGCACCGGCUAACUCCGUGCCAGCAGCCGCGGUAAUACGGAGGGUGCAAGCGUUAAUCGGAAUUACUGGGCGUAAAGCGCACGCAGGCGGUUUGUUAAGUCAGAUGUGAAAUCCCCGGGCUCAACCUGGGAACUGCAUCUGAUACUGGCAAGCUUGAGUCUCGUAGAGGGGGGUAGAAUUCCAGGUGUAGCGGUGAAAUGCGUAGAGAUCUGGAGGAAUACCGGUGGCGAAGGCGGCCCCCUGGACGAAGACUGACGCUCAGGUGCGAAAGCGUGGGGAGCAAACAGGAUUAGAUACCCGCGUAGUC
rnacentral:rRNA from 1 species